rnacentral:rRNA from 1 species
AUGGGGAAACCCAGUGUGAUUCGUCACACUAUCAUUAACUGAAUCCAUAGGUUAAUGAGGCGAACCGGGGGAACUGAAACAUCUAAGUACCCCGAGGAAAAGAAAUCAACCGAGAUUCCCCCAGUAGCGGCGAGCGAACGGGGAGGAGCCCAGAGCCUGAAUCAGCAUGUGUGUUAGUGGAAGCGUCUGGAAAGGCGCGCGAUACAGGGUGACAGCCCCGUACACAAAAGCGCAUAUGCUGUGAGCUCGAUGAGUAGGGCGGGACACGUGGUAUCCUGUCUGAAUAUGGGGGGACCAUCCUCCAAGGCUAAAUACUCCUGACUGACCGAUAGUGAACCAGUACCGUGAGGGAAAGGCGAAAAGAACCCCGGCGAGGGGAGUGAAAAAGAACCUGAAACCGUGUACGUACAAGCAGUGGGAGCACAGGUUUACCUGUGUGACUGCGUACCUUUUGUAUAAUGGGUCAGCGACUUAUAUUCUGUAGCAAGGUUAACCGMAUAGGGGAGCCGGAGGGAAACCGAGUCUUAACUUAA